rnacentral:tRNA from 1 species
GUAUAUAUAGCUCAGCUGGUUAGAGCGCACGCCUGAUAAGCGUGAGGUCGGUGGUUCGAGUCCACUUAUACCACCA